UUACAGCCAUAUCAGGUUGAAAUACCAGUUCCCGGACGAUCACUGAAGUUAAGCAACGUCGAGCUUGGUUAGUACCUAGAUGAGUGACCGCUUGAAAAUAUCAGGUACUGUAAG